rnacentral:rRNA from 1 species
GGUAAGACCCAGUCUUUUCUUGACUCUUCAAAGGUCUUGGAAUAAGAGGUGGGUAAGGACGGUGCCAGCCGCCGCGGUAAUACCGGCGCCUCAAGUGGUAGUCGAUUUUAUUGGGCCUAAAACGUCCGUAGCCUGUUUGGUACAUUCGUGGGUAAAUCAACCAGCUCAACUGGUUGAAUUCUGCGAGCACGGCCAGACUUGGGACCGGGAGAGGUGUGGGGUACGCUCAGGGUAGGGGUAAAAUCCUGUCAUCCUGAGCGGACCACCUGUUGCGAAGGCGCCACACUAGAACGGAUCCGACGGUCAGGGACGAAGCCUAGGGGCACGAACCGGAUUAGAUACCCGGGUAGUCCUAGGUGUAAACGCUGUGGACUUGGUGUUGGGGAUUCUCCGAGGAUCUUCAGUGCCGAAGCGAAGGUGAUAAGUCCACUGCCUGGGGAGUACGGUCGCAAGGCUGAAACUUAAAGGAAUUGGCGGGGGAGCACCGCAACCUGAGGAUUGUGCGGUUUAAUUGGACUCAACGCCGGAA